CGCUACCCUCGGUGAAGCUAUUGACCCCAAGUGAGCCUCAGGCGCUAGCCGUGGGCCUGACGCGGAUUGUGGUGCUGGCCCACGGCUAGUGUC
rnacentral:tRNA from 1 species